CCGCCCGUAGCUCAGCUGGAUAGAGCGCUGCCCUCCGGAGGCAGAGGUCAGGGGUUCGAAUCCCUUCGGGCGGGCCA
rnacentral:tRNA from 2 species